CUGCAGUACCACCAGCAACAAUAUCUGCAGGACCAUCAGCAUCGCAUCAAGAGUUCCUGCGAUAUCGCUCCCAGCACCCAGGUCCGAUAUCUCAAAGAGCUUUCUACUGGUGAUGUCAAUAUGGGAAAGAUGAUCUCUCCUUUAGAUGGAGGAGACAAGCCCCAUAAGACACCACUGGUAGAAGGAGGGGUGCUGGGAAGCGGUUCAACACUUUUAAUUUCUACCAGUAGCUUUUUUAAGCUACUGGUAGAAUUAUUUUCAUUUUUAAUUAUAAAGAAAAUUGACUUUUUAAAAAACUUUUUUUUUUAAUUUUGCAAUUUUUUAUUAUUUUAAUUUUUAUACUUUCAUUAUUUUAUUUUUUUGAUUUUUAAUUCUGUUUUUAAAUCCUAAACUUACAAAAGAACUCUUAUGAUAUAAAAGUUUAUAAUAAUUUGUCUAUAAGUUUUUUUAUGACUUUACGUUUUUACAUCUU